CACAGUUACCUCAUGGUAGCAAAAGAAUAGCCUUUUAGCAUAUUCUGGGUUAAGUCUGAUCAAAUUAAAUGCAGAGAAACAGGAUGCCUUAGCUUAGUAGAGCUGUGCGCUAACCUGAUAACGCUGUCUGUGGCUGUGACUCAUCUCACCUGCGUGUCCCUCCGUGACACUGCCAUGGGUUAAAUGACACAUGUUGACUAAUGGCACUACCGGCUGUCUCUACAGUAAAGAAACCAGGGCUGAGCUGACUCAACAGCCCUCAUGCAACGCACCGGCAACACACGGGAGAGCUGCUCUUAAGGCUGUGUUUCCUUUGUGGCUGUAGAUUGGGGUAAACUGUGGUACAUUUCAAGAAUACAACUACUGUUUUUGUUGUCAGCUGAGAUGGAGGAGGCCCUUCAGAAGGAAAAUAGGCCCAUUCUCACAAGCAAGAGAAAGGAAGAGAAAACAAUGCUUCUCUUUGGGACAGUAAAAAUCCACUGCAGACAGAGAACCGGUUGUCUUUCCCCAAGACACAGUAGCAUCAUUUCUGUGAGUUGAUGUUGGCUGGCAAUAACAGGAGGACCACUGUGACCAAACAAAACCCCGCUGGUAUCAGUGGGGCUUGGCUUAUCUGCAGUGGGCUACCCACACAUAUGCCGACAGGAGAGAAAAGAGCUGAGGGGCAGCCAGCAGGGAACAGAGGCGAUCAUGUACGUUACAUGAGUUGGCUGUGCUAAAGGUGGCCGCGAUGUGGGUUCUACAGAGCUGAUGCCUUAAUGGAUUAAGAACAAUUGUUCACGAGCAACGGACUCUAGACUGUUUGUAUCCUGAGGAAAUUCAGCCUCAAACCUGCUAUCAGAAUGAACCUGAUGGAACAGCACCCCUUGAUGAAGUCCUCAUGACAAAGCUUUUCAGCAUGGUGCAUGUAACUUUCACAGCAACAACACUGAGGCACUGCAGUCUGAACUAAAAGAUGAUCUGCAAGGAAUUGAACUAGACUGAGAUUUUAAAAAUGCCUUACUUACUACUUCAGUUGAGGCUUGUAAUAUAAUCUGAUAUGAGGAAGAAAAAUAAAAAUAAAAUAUUAGCACUCUCUCCUGUUGCC
rnacentral:lncRNA from 1 species